rnacentral:tRNA from 1 species
GUUCUUGUAGUUGANNAACAACGGUGGUUUUUCAUAUCAUUGGUCAUGGUUAAACUCCAUGUGAGAAUA